rnacentral:lncRNA from 1 species
AAUUUAAAAUAACCUUAGCACCCUUGGCACUUGAAUACUUCAAGACUUAGCCUCCAAAAGUGAUGUGAGCAUGGAUGACAUAAGGCAUCCCAAACACAAUUCAAAUAAUUCAAAAUAAGGAGGGAAAGACAUAGGCGACCAAGAAGAGAUUAUGGACGACCAAGAGACUUCAAUAUAAGAAUAAAGCAAUUUGGAUGGACUUAGAUCACUUGGGAGGAAUAUUAUGAUGCCAAGUGGGUCUAUUACAAGAAGAAGGGCCUAAAGACUUAAAGAAGUUUUCUAACUCUUUUUCAAGAAUGGAUAAGUGAGGAAUAAGCACUUGGAUCAAAUAAGGAAGACCAUAAGAGGAUAAGAUUAAGCCCAUUCAGCCAAGGACAAGAAGGGAAAUGCAUCUUACUCCAAGUAAAAGAAGGAACCAUGGGAAAUAAGAAAGAAAAUCUUCCCAUGGGGGAAGAAACUUCCCAACCAGAGAAGGAUUCUUUCUUGAG